rnacentral:rRNA from 1 species
CCUACGGGAGGCAGCAGUAGGGAAUCUUGCGCAAUGGGCGAAAGCCUGACGCAGCGACGCCGCGUGAGGGAUGAAUGCCUUCGGGUUGUAAACCUCUUUCAGCAGGGGCGAAGCCUUACGGUGACGGUACCUGCAGAAGAAGCCCCGGCCAACUACGUGCCAGCAGCCGCGGUAAUACGUAGGGGGCAAGCGUUGUCCGGAUUUAUUGGGCGUAAAGAGCGCGUAGGCGGCUACCCACGUCGGGUGUGAAAGCUCAGGGCUCAACUCUGAGAUGCCAUUCGAUACGGGGUAGCUAGAGCCAGCUAGGGGAGAAUGGAAUUCCUGGUGUAGCGGUGAAAUGCGCAGAUAUCAGGAGGAACACCGGUGGCGAAGGCGGUUCUCUGGGGCUGUCCUGACGCUGAGGCGCGAAAGCUGGGGGAGCGAACAGGAUUAGAUACCCUGGUAGUCCCAGCCGUAAACGUUGAGUGCUAGGUGUGGGGAGGCCUUCAACCCUCUCUGUGCCGCAGCUAACGCAUUAAGCACUCCGCCUGGGGAGUACGGCCGCAAGGCUAAAACUCAAAGGAAUUGACGGGGACCCGCACAAGCGGCGGAGCAUGUGGCUUAAUUCGAUGCAACGCGAAGAACCUUACCUGGGUUUGACAUGCUAGUUAAAGCGGGUGAAAGCCCGUGUCCGUAAGGGGCUAGCACAGGUGCUGCAUGGCUGUCGUCAGCUCGUGCCGUGAGGUGUUGGCUUAAGUGCCGCAACGAGCGCAACCCCUGCUCUUAGUUGCCAUCACGUAAUGCUGGGGACUCUAAGAGGACUGCCGGGGACAACUCGGAGGACGUGGGGAUGACGUCAAGUCAGCAUGGCCCUUAUGCCCAGGGCUGCACACAUGCUACAUUGCGCGCCACAGAGGGCUGCGAUCCCGUAAGGGGAGCGAAUCCCAAAAAGCGCGCCUGGUUCGGAUUGAGUCUGCAACUCGACUCAUGAGUCGGAGUCGCUAGUA